UGCUGUGCAUUCUGAUCCCCAUGAAAAAUUUCCAGUAUCCAGACGCAGUGCUCUGUAUUUUUUAUUGCCACCACGUGUGCGUACCUUGAUGUAAGAAAAACAUUAAGCAUUAAUUAUGUGACUAUAAAUAAGAAGAAUAAAAUUGUAUUGGCUGCAUAUAACUCAGUACGCUGUGGGAAUAUAUCAACAUAUAUCUCAGAGUAGGUUUUUAGAAAUUUGAUGUCUAAUAGAUGAAUCAUAUAUUUGUAUCCAAACUUACCGUAUGAAUACGCUGAGGUCCAAGUUUAGUAUUUGCAGCUGGACGUCCUAACUCAAACUUCCUCUUCUUUCUGAGAGGCUUUCGCUUCCCACCAGUAGCUCUUCUUUUAUGCCAAUGAUCUCGGGAAAUACCUAUUUAUUAAAAUUUUGUAAUGUAAAGUAAGUUUCAUUUUAUCACAUACAACAUCUCUCAUUGCAAACUCUUAAUUACUCAAAUUUAUACAAGCAAAUAUGUCGCUUGUAACUAAUUGUAAAAUAUAUUAGUGAAAAAGACGAGUAAUAUGUAAACUAAUUACAUUUAUUUAUAUUUUUAUAUUCUUUAAUAUAUUGUGUAUACACACAAAAACUUAAGAAACUAAUUCUAACCACAAAAGCCUAAUAUAAUUUACAAAAUUUUUCAAAUAAAUGUUGAAAUAAUGUAUUAACGAAUAUGUAAAUUAUUAUAUUAUUUACAAAUUUUCCAUGUUCUGCAAACAUAUUUUUUAUGCAAAAUAUAGAUGUAAUUCGAUAAAGAUAAAUUUUAAUAAAACCAGAAAACUCACCCAUGGUGGCAAAUUGAAAAAGAAA
rnacentral:lncRNA from 1 species